rnacentral:rRNA from 1 species
CAGCAGCCGCGGGAAUACGUAGGGUGCAAGCGUUAAUCGGAAUUACUGGGCGUAAAGCGUGCACAGGCGGUUUGUUAAGACAGAUGUGAAAUCCCCGGGCUCAACCUGGGAACUGCAUUUGUGACUGCACAGCUAGAGUAUGGCAGAGGGGGGUGGAAUUCCCGGUGCAGCGGUGAAAUGCGUAGAGAUCGGAAGGAACAUCUGUGGCGAAGGCGACUAUCUGGGCCAACACUGACACUGAGGCACGAAAGCGUGGGGAGCAAACAGGAUUAGAUACCCCCGUAGUCCCUGUCUCUUAUAC